ACAUAAUAGCAGGGAUCAGAUCAGGGCACAAUGACCCGAGACAAGUGGUAAUGGGGGAACAGAAUGAGACAUCUUCAAACCUCAAUACAGAAUACGGAAAAACCGCGAUCUUCUAAGCGACUGAAACUAAAGUCCACUAUAUUAUGAAAUGCCGAUUAAUUACUCUUCAUAUUUGUUGGCAAACUUCUGAUAGUCUUGGUUAUUAUUUGAGUUGAUACCUCGAAGAGAUACUGAUCGGGACAGUCUUUUCGGCACCCUGUCCCAUUUUUUGUUGUUCUUGAAAUGCAUAUUGGCGGAUCUCACACGCCCCCAUGUCAUGAAUCAGGCAGUCAGCUGUGUACAUGUAUGUGCUUGCAAACACACCGAGACAAUACCAACAUACCGUUUGCGAACUGAAGCGGUAUCUUAUUUGUGAAUGUAUUCAAUACGGUGAUAUAUAACUUCAUGAAGAACAACAUUAUGUCGAUAUCAAGAUAAAGACCGAAACAAUAUCCAUGAGAGCAUUGAUGGAAUGGAGUUUUUUUUUUUUAAAUGAAGGACUGGUUUAACUAAAGGAGGAGUUCACGUUUCUUCCUUCGUGUGUCGGUAGAUAAUAUUAUACUAUGGAUGAACCCAUGGAAAGCGUCGAAAGAGGAGCUGUGAUCUCAAUAAGCAUAGCAGGAGGAAUCGUCGUCUUCGUUAUCGGGGCCGUCGUCAUCUAUAUUCUCAGAGAACUCUAUUGCAAUGAGCAUUAUGCCAACAUGACGUCAUCGGUAAGAAGAUCUCGACCUCGUAAUGAUACUCGACCUCCUAAAAAGGUGGCGACCAUCGACCUCCAACCAUCUUCAUCGAAGGAUAAAAUAGUACCUGGUUCCAGGAAAAUAGCUCUACCGGAUUCUAAUAUUUAGAAUCAUUAUCGGUGACCGCUGUUUCCAAUGAUGACUGGAUAAUAAGGUCUGUUGUGUUAUAUCAAGGAUGACAUUGUAGGAGCAUGGAGCUAUAGGAGGCAGGCGCCGAUGGCCCUUAUUAUUUACAUUAUGGAACAAGUAGAGGAAAGGAGAAAGUGUGUAUAUUGUGUAACUGUGAGGCUUGCAAUACCCCUAUUUUUAUCUCAAAUGCAAUCGAAUUGUUUGGGUCAGUCUUGCUCAUACCACCCUACUUGUGCGAAUGAAGGUUUUUGAGAACACAGUGUUUGAUAAUGCUUAUUCCGGGAUGCAACUGUUCUGGUGACGAAAGCUGAUUUCGUUCAGUAUUUCUUAACUUUAUCACGAUGUUGUUUCUUUAUUUACCAUGUUUUCUUAUUUUAUUCAUCUAGGCCUAUUUACUCGGAAUUAUAGCAAUAAUGGUGAAAGUUAAAUGUAGAUUAGAAAAGAAACAACUCAAAGCUCCGAGGAUCUGUCAUUUUAAUGAUUUUAACACUAAGACGAGCAUGCGAUAAUAAUGACAUGAUAUUGCAGAUUUGCAAGAAAUAUUUUAAGAACAAUUCAAAUUUUUAAUUUUUUCAUAAAUUUUGACUAGCCAGCGAAACAAAAUAACAGGAAUUAAAUAAUAUGAGGGUAAUAAAUCUUAAAUUCAUACAGGAUGGAUAUUAGAAAGCUCAUCUCAGUCUUGCAGUCUUUUAGCGGGCCAGAAGACUGAGUGUUGUUACAUUACGAGUUGAAGCAUCUAAUCUUUCCAGUUUAUACUGGCAGUCUGAUUUUAGACCAUUCAUUAAAGAGGCUUCUUGAUCUUGUUGGUGAUAUAAAACCUGGUGGUUAAGUCGCUGCCCGGAAAGCAGUAGAUGGCAGGUUCGAAUCCCACUGGUUCCAAUUUUUUCUGACUUAUGAUUUUCAUUAAAGAUCGAGCGUGCGAUCUUAAACACAUAGGAGUAAUGCCGAAAAUUUGUUUACAAAUUAUGAUUUCCUCCUAUUACAGCCUCAUUUACGAUAUAAAACCUGUUUUGAAGAUCACCUUCUACAGUCAUAUUCGAGAAAAUAUUUUGAGGGGCAUAAUGUGACGUAUGGGGAAAAUUGAGAAGUUCAUAGUGGCAUGUUUCAUUUUUUUCUACAGACCAUAUCAUAUUUCAACUUUCCCCUUUCCUAUUCUUCUUUUAAUCACUUUUUUAAAGUUUCCACGACCGAGAAGAAAAAGGUGAUAGAAUGGAAUACCCCUCCCUCAGUCGGGAUGAAGUGAAGUACCAUUCCCACAAUCAUGACACCCAUGCUGCAUGUCAACAUUGGUGGUAAAAAAUAUUCGAAACAAGACAAGAGGGUGAAAUAUUUGAACGCUUGAUGGUGCAUGCACAAGCACGUAAACAUCAAAUUGAUCAAAUAUUUUUUUAAUAUAUAUUUGAUGGAGGUCCGGAUAAAUAUACAGUGCGUCCCAGAAAAAACGAAACCGAGAUUAAGCGAUGAUUUAUCAUAACUUAAUCACAAAUAUAAUAGACAAAUGACCUACCAAUGUAAAGCUUAGAAUCUCCUCUUUCAUCUGAUAUUACUUAGAUUAUUCCCCAUUCACGCAUGAGUGAGCAAAAACAAUUUGAAGAAAGGAUUCCAAAAACUCAUUUGGCGGGGGGUAUCUGAAUUUCAAAAAGAAAAUCACAUGCCUAAAAAGUUCAAUAUCUGCUCCUUUAUUUGAUACCUUUAUCACAAAAGAUGGUCAAGAGUUAAAAAAGUUAUGUUCCCUCGAAACAAUGCUUGUAUUUCCAUAAUUUCAUUAAAUAAACGUGUUUUCACCGGUUUCCCACAGAAGCUAUCGCAUGGUUAACAAAAAACUUAAUGCAUGGCUGAUCGUCAACAAAACGGAGUGUCAAGUGUGUUUGAACGCUAGCCUGUAGAACCUCUUCAUUUUAUGAAAUUAUUGAAAUUCAAGCCUUAUUUCAAAUAACCAGAACCUUGUUAUUUCUUAACCAUUUUCUGUAAUUGAGGUAUCAAAUUAAAGAGCAGAUAUUGAACUUUUUAAAAAUGUGGUUUUCUUUUUGAAAUCCAGAUACAGCCCGCCAAAUGACUUUUUGGUAUACCCGCUUCAAAUUGUUUUUGCUCACUCAUGCAUGAAUGAUAAAUAAUCUUAGUACUUUCAGAUGAAAGAAGAGAUUCUAAGCUUUACAAUGGUAGGUCAUUUGUCUAUUAUAUUUGUGAUUAAGUUAUGGUAAAUCAUCGAUAAAUCUCGGUUUCGUUUUUUGUGGGACGCUCUGUAUAUAGAAUAACUAGUAUAGCAUACAAGGGGAGCAAGUAUCCCACCGCUCGGCGCAGAGUAGUAGGUCCAUGAAUAUGCAUGCUCCAUUGGUUUAGACCUACCCAGUUAAUCCCGCCCCUCAAAAUUAACACUCAAACCAUCUGAUUUUUCUUAUCCUUUGAAAGUUUUAGCCCUGUAAAUAUGCGCAACUGUCUGACUGUGGUUUCAGUGGCAAAGCGGUAAAGAUUUGAGUAUAUAUACCUCUAAUCAUUUUAAGGCCAAGAAACUGUAUUUGUAUUUGUCAGUGGGCAUUUAUUUUAUUAUACUAGAGAUCAAUUCUCGGAGUAAACCUAAUUCAAAUUCGACUUUUCUAAGUAUACUCAGUCCCUAUAACUUCGCUCAUAUCGUCGUGUUAUUUACAUGUACAUGUAUAUAUAAUUGUACUGUAUGAUUUUACACGCCGUAUUGUAGUGAUAGACUUCUAAAUUUUAGAUAAUAUUUAGACUCUCCCAAGAGAUAUAUUUAAAUAUCUGACUAGUCUUUACAUUCCAGACCUAGUCGCAUAUUACUGCUACCUUUAUCAGACGUAGACGUGUAAUAGCGGAAGUUUAUUUUAUUAGGCCUACUUGUGGAUGUUUAUGUCACAAGUAUCAGUUAUAACAUUCGAGGGACAUGUCGUCUAACCCUUAAUGAUACCGUUUAAAUACUACUUAAAAUAUAAACACAUCUCGCUAACGCAACUCUCAGUUUUAAUAUAUAAGUAAUGUGUUAACUGUGAAGUAAACAAUUCAUGUUACUCCUUUUAUUGUUUUUAUUUUUGUCAGUAAUAUCGAAUUAUCUUUGUAGUCAUUGGGACAUGAAAGUGAUAAAUUUUAACUGCACAUGCAUAAAAGAAUAUGUAUAUUUAUGAAACAAAAUUUAAAUGAAAGAGUUAUGUAGAUUUAGUGUUUUCAAGUUGAUUGAAAUAUGAUAAUGAAGUUGGAUAUCCUCAAAUGUCUUUCUCAACUUUUGCAAUAUAUCAUGUCAUGUCAUUCCAUAAUCAUGUGUGUCACUCAAAAGGUUUUACAUGUUCAAGUUAUUGCUAAAAUUUUAUUGAGGAACUCUUGUUUAUAUAACCUAGUAUUCGUCUUUUGUAAAAAAAAAAAUGUGAAAAGAAGAAUGAGAGAGGGGAGGGGAGCACGUGGUAUGGUAUUAUUAAUUUAUUUUUCUCUUCUCGUAUUCAGACCAACUUCAAUACUAGUAUGUUUUUUAAUGAUAGUUUUUUUUUCAUAUCCUUGGAAUUUUGUUUUUGUCUCCAGAUUUUGUGUGUUUAUGUGUCUUUCAUAUCAUAAUUGAGUUGUCAGUUAAAUGACAUGUGUUGCAGGCUACAAAUAUUAUGACAGCAUGUAUGUCCAUAAAUAGAUUGCAUAAUCAUGAUAAUGAAAUGUAUUACUUCACCAUGUUGUAUAAACUUAAGAGGUGUUUGAAUAAGAUUUGAUUGAAAUUAGACAUGAUGCAAUUUAUGACUAUACAUGACCACAUUUGUUUCUGCGUUCACUGUCCUUAACAUAAAAUGCAGAUUUAUGAACUAUAUUUUCCUUAAUGAUUAUUUGUUUGUGAUUUAUAUUUUACUCAAGACAACGAUUUCAGACAGACAUGUGGGGAAUGGCAACUAGUGUCUUCAACUGACUGAUGGCAAACCACUUUAAACACUAUUGGCUGACCUAUCCCCAUCACUGCAGCGCCACGGCCCCGUUAGAUCAAUUUACGAUUAAAAACUCAUCUUAUUGGUUUGCAAUGGAAAAGGGGAAAAUGGAAAAUGAAAUGCGAAAUAGAUUACCCCCUUAUGGGCAUGUAGAUUUGAUGGUCAUUUUUUUAUAUAUAGGUCCAUGUUUUGAAGGUCCCGUAUCUACAUGUAUUAUGAUAUAGGCAUACUUUUACCGCCCCCCGCCCCCCCCCUCCUCCCCCUGUCUAUCUGUCUCUCUCUUUCUCUAAAGUAGCUAAAUUUAAAUAAAACACAUGAAGGCUGUUUUAAAUAUCAUUAUCCACUGAAAGUUGAAAUAAAUCAUGAAUCAUUGUGCUUUCAAUUUUUAUUCAAGUUUUUUUUCGAUAUAAUUGAAUAUAGUGUAUGCAUCCUUUAUUUCAUUAUACAUUUUUACGACUAUCGCAACAAAUAAACAUUUAUAUUUUGUCAACAUUUUA